UUAAGCGACUAAGCGUACACGGUGGAUGCCUAGGCAGUCAGAGGCGAUGAAGGGCGUGCUAAUCUGCGAAAAGCGUCGGUAAGGUGAUAUGAACCGUUACAACCGACGAUACCCGAAUGGGGAAACCCAGUGCAAUUCGUUGCACUAUUGCAUGGUGAAUACAUAGCCAUGCAAGGCGAACCGGGGGAACUGAAACAUCUAAGUACCCCGAGGAAAAGAAAUCAACCGAGAUUCCCCCAGUAGCGGCGAGCGAACGGGGAGGAGCCCAGAACCUGAAUCAGCGUAUGUGUUAGUGGAAGCGUCUGGAAAGUCGCACGGUACAGGGUGAUAGUCCCGUACACAAAAAUGCAUAUGUUGUGAGUUCGAUGAGUAGGGCGGGACACGUGACAUCCUGUCUGAAUAUGGGGGGACCAUCCUCCAAGGCUAAAUACUCCUGACUGACCGAUAGUGAACCAGUACCGUGAGGGAAAGGCGAAAAGAACCCCGGCGAGGGGAGUGAAAUAGAACCUGAAACCGUGUACGUACAAGCAGUGGGAGCACCUUCGUGGUGUGACUGCGUACCUUUUGUAUAAUGGGUCAGCGACUUAUAUUUUGUAGCAAGGUUAACCGAAUAGGGGAGCCGUAGGGAAACCGAGUCUUAACUGGGCGAAUAGUUGCAAGGUAUAGACCCGAAACCCGGUGAUCUAGCCAUGGGCAGGUUGAAGGUUGGGUAACACUAACUGGAGGACCGAACCGACUAAUGUUGAAAAAUUAGCGGAUGACUUGUGGCUGGGGGUGAAAGGCCAAUCAAACCGGGAGAUAGCUGGUUCUCCCCGAAAGCUAUUUAGGUAGCGCCUCGUGAACUCAUCUUCGGGGGUAGAGCACUGUUUCGGCUAGGGGGUCAUCCCGACUUACCAAACCGAUGCAAACUCCGAAUACCGAAGAAUGUUAUCACGGGAGACACACGGCGGGUGCUAACGUCCGUCGUGAAGAGGGAAACAACCCAGACCGCCAGCUAAGGUCCCAAAGUCAUGGUUAAGUGGGAAACGAUGUGGGAAGGCAUAGACAGCCAGGAUGUUGGCUUAGAAGCAGCCAUCAUUUAAAGAAAGCGUAAUAGCUCACUGGUCGAGUCGGCCUGCGCGGAAGAUGUAACGGGGCUAAACCAUGCACCGAAGCUGCGGCAGCGACACUUAGGUGUUGUUGGGUAGGGGAGCGUUCUGUAAGCCGUUGAAGGUGACCUGUGAGGGUUGCUGGAGGUAUCAGAAGUGCGAAUGCUGACAUAAGUAACGAUAAUGCGGGUGAAAAACCCGCACGCCGGAAGACCAAGGGUUCCUGUCCAACGUUAAUCGGGGCAGGGUGAGUCGACCCCUAAGGCGAGGCUGAAAAGCGUAGUCGAUGGGAAACAGGUUAAUAUUCCUGUACUUGGUGUUACUGCGAAGGGGGGACGGAGAAGGCUAGGCUAGCCGGGCGACGGUUGUCCCGGUUUAAGCAUGUAGGCGGAGUGACUUGGUAAAUCCGGUUGCUUAUCAACGCUGAGGUGUGAUGACGAGCCACUACGGUGGUGAAGUAGUUGAUGCCAAGCUUCCAGGAAAAGCCUCUAAGCAUCAGGUAACAUUAAAUCGUACCCCAAACCGACACAGGUGGUCAGGUAGAGAAUACUCAGGCGCUUGAGAGAACUCGGGUGAAGGAACUAGGCAAAAUGGUGCCGUAACUUCGGGAGAAGGCACGCUGGCAUUAGGUAAAGGGACUUGCUCCCGGCGCCGAAGCCAGUCGCAGAUACCAGCUGGCUGCAACUGUUUAAUAAAAACACAGCACUGUGCAAACACGAAAGUGGACGUAUACGGUGUGACGCCUGCCCGGUGCUGGAAGGUUAAUUGAUGGGGUCAGCCGCAAGGCGAAGCUCUUGAUCGAAGCCCCAGUAAACGGCGGCCGUAACUAUAACGGUCCUAAGGUAGCGAAAUUCCUUGUCGGGUAAGUUCCGACCUGCACGAAUGGCGUAAUGAUGGCCAGGCUGUCUCCACCCGAGACUCAGUGAAAUUGAACUCGCUGUGAAGAUGCAGUGUACCCGCGGCAAGACGGAAAGACCCCGUGAACCUUUACUAUAGCUUGACACUGAACAUUGAGCCUUGAUGUGUAGGAUAGGUGGGAGGCAUUGAAGUGUGGACGCCAGUCUGCAUGGAGCCAACCUUGAAAUACCACCCUUUAAUGUUUGAUGUUCUAACUCGGCCCCAUAAUCUGGGGUGAGGACAGUGUCUGGUGGGUAGUUUGACUGGGGCGGUCUCCUCCCAAAGAGUAACGGAGGAGCACGAAGGUUAGCUAAUCACGGUCGGACAUCGUGAGGUUAGUGCAAAGGCAUAAGCUAGCUUGACUGCGAGAGUGACGGCUCGAGCAGGUACGAAAGUAGGUCUUAGUGAUCCGGUGGUUCUGAAUGGAAGGGCCAUCGCUCAACGGAUAAAAGGUACUCCGGGGAUAACAGGCUGAUACCGCCCAAGAGUUCAUAUCGACGGCGGUGUUUGGCACCUCGAUGUCGGCUCAUCACAUCCUGGGGCUGAAGUAGGUCCCAAGGGUAUGGCUGUUCGCCAUUUAAAGUGGUACGCGAGCUGGGUUUAGAACGUCGUGAGACAGUUCGGUCCCUAUCUGCCGUGGGCGUUGGAAGAUUGAGAGGGGCUGCUCCUAGUACGAGAGGACCGGAGUGGACGAAUCACUGGUGUUCGGGUUGUCAUGCCAAUGGCAUUGCCCGGUAGCUAAAUUCGGAAGAGAUAACCGCUGAAAGCAUCUAAGCGGGAAACUUGCCUCGAGAUGAGUCUUCCCUGGGGCUUUAAGCCCCCUGAAGGAACGUUAAAGACUAUGACGUUGAUAGGCUGGGUGUGUAAGUGCAGCGAUGCAUUGAGCUAACCAGUACUAAUGAUCCGUGAGGCUUAACCUU
rnacentral:rRNA from 1 species